rnacentral:rRNA from 1 species
CCUACGGGAGGCAGCAGUGGGGAAUCUUGCGCAAUGGGCGAAAGCCUGACGCAGCAACGCCGCGUGCGGGAAGAAGGCUCUCGGGUUGUAAACCGCUUUCAGCAGGAACGAAAAUGACGGUACUUGCAGAAGAAGGUGCGGCCAACUACGUGCCAGCAGCCGCGGUGACACGUAGGCACCAAGCGUUGUCCGGAUUUAUUGGGCGUAAAGAGCUCGUAGGCGGUUCGGUAAGUCAGGUGUGAAAACUUUGGGCUCAACCCAAAGCCUGCAUCUGAUACUGCUGUGACUAGAGUUCGGUAGGGGAGCGGGGAAUUCCUAGUGUAGCGGUGAAAUGCGCAGAUAUUAGGAGGAACACCGGUGGCGAAGGCGCCGCUCUGGGCCGAAACUGACGCUGAGGAGCGAAAGCGUGGGUAGCAAACAGGAUUAGAUACCCUGGUAGUCCACGCCGUAAACGUUGGGCACUAGGUGUGGGUCUCAACCAACGAGAUCCGCGCCGUCGCUAACGCAUUAAGUGCCCCGCCUGGGGAGGUACGGCCGCGAGUAAACGUACAAGAAGUAGACGCGUGAGACGNGCCGACGGCGACGACGAGGGAGAGG